GACGAACGCUGGCGGCGUGCCUAAUACAUGCAAGUAGAACGCACAGUUUAUACCGUAGCUUGCUACACCAUAGACUGUGAGUUGCGAACGGGUGAGUAACGCGUAGGUAACCUGCCUGGUAGCGGGGGAUAACUAUUGGAAACGAUAGCUAAUACCGCAUAAUAUUAAUUAUUGCAUGAUAAUUAAUUGAAAGGUGCAAUUGCACCACUACCAGAUGGACCUGCGUUGUAUUAGCUAGUAGGUGAGGUAACGGCUCACCUAGGCGACGAUACAUAGCCGACCUGAGAGGGUGAUCGGCCAAACUGGGACUGAGACACGGCCCAGACUCCUACGGGAGGCAGCAGUAGGGAAUCUUCGGCAAGGGACGAAAGUCUGACCGAGCAACGCCGCGUGAGUGAAGAAGGGUUUCGGAUCGGAAAGCUCUGUUGUAAGAGAAGAUCGGGUGUGAGAGUGGAAAGUUCACACUGUGACGGUAUCUUACCAGAAAGGGACGGCUAACUACGUG
rnacentral:rRNA from 1 species